UACGUAGGGUGCAAGCGUUUAUCCGGAAUUAUUGGGCGUAAAGAGCUCGUAGGCGGUUUGUCGCGUCUGCUGUGAAAAUCCAGGGCUUAACCCUGGACCUGCAGUGGGUACGGGCAGACUAGAGUGCGGUAGGGGAGAUCGGAAUUCCUGGUGUAGCGGUGAAAUGCGCAGAUAUCAGGAGGAACACCGGUGGCGAAGGCGGAUCUCUGGGCCGUAACUGACGCUGAGGAGCGAAAGCAUGGGGGAGCGAAACAGG
rnacentral:rRNA from 1 species